GAUACCUGAACGCUACUUUUUAUAUGUCGGAGACUGGAAUUGGACAAUUGGAAUUGGACAUGAACAAAAUAGUAUCGAAAAUCAGUCCAUACGUUCUCCGUACAACCAAUUUAAUUAUUUAUGUUUUUCUGAUUGACUGCUUGCACUCUUAUCACAUACAACGGUUUAAGCGAUAUCUCAACAAAAAUUUAACUAAAGUGCACCGAAUAGCAUUGUAGGAUUCUGUAGUAAAAAUUGUGGAUAUCUGGAUUUAUCAUUCUAUUUGGUAUCGCUAGCCUGAUGUACAGGUAUCGGAGGCGGCCGGUUUCCCACUUGAUUACAACUCAAUAUACCUGAGCAAAAUAAGAUGUUUCUAAGACAGACUGUAGACGAGCAACACGAGAACCUGAAUUACAAUGAGUGCUGAAGAUUAGAGAGGCUGUAAUUCAUAGUUUUAUAAUGGAGAAACUACUGUUCAAACUUUUUUCGGACGGGAAACAAAGGAAUUUCCAGGAAUCUCAUUUUUUCUCGAAGUUCUCUUAUAAAUAAAAGGUUCGGUUGCACCCGAACUUGGCCCUUCCUUACUUGUUAUAUUUAGUCUUCUUCUGUUGAAGUACUCAUGUGGUUUCACCCCUAGGAAGAACUUUGUGUACCCUCUCAUGGUCAAUAUAAAUAAAAAUAAUAUAAUUAUCAUGUCUCCUCUACUUCCCCAAAAGCUGUAGAGCAAUUUGAUAUUAUCCAAAUACAAACUUUCCUUAACUGAUUAACAGACUUUUUUCGAUCUGCUCCGUUAUUCAGUACUUUCCCCUUUUGUGAUCAUUUAAAUAUUUGAUAUUAAGUAGACUUUAGUAUUCUUGAGUAAUACCAAAAGUGAACGCAAUCAGUUCAGACCUUCUCUAGCUCUAAUAUGCCGUGUAUGGUAAUUUCGGCUUUUUCACCUGACUUAACACCAUUUCUGAUGGUAUGAAUGAGUGACGCUUCAAUGAAAUUAAGUAGGUUCCUAAAUCACAAUAUGGCUUAGCACCUAAUAUGGAAGUAACUUAUCAAUUUUUAAUUUAAACCGCAAAUCCCUAAUAAAAUGGUUUCCGAUAUUACCACUUCCCAAGUUUGGUAAUAAAAAUUAACGGCAUGAAUCAUGUUGAUCGAAUGUUUUUGUCUGAUUUUAUGUAUGAACUCCUUCAAUUGGUAAUAAUUAUACUAAGUGUAUCAUAUUUCCUGGAAAUAUUAAGGUUUCUGAGUUGACUAAUGUAUUUGAGGUAAAGCGGAUUCAUUCGUUACGAAGAGUAUUUGUGACGUUAUAAAUAGUGUUCAAAUAAGGAAUAAUAGUAGAAAGCAA